UACAUGGGGUGCAAACGUUGCUCGGAAUUAUUGGGCGUAAAGCGCACGUAGGCGGUUUGUUAAGUCGGAUGUGAAAUCCCUCGGCUCAACUGAGGAAGUGCAUCCGAAACUGGCAAGCUUGAGUACGAAAGAGGGUUGCGGAAUUCCCGGUGUAGAGGUGAAAUUCGUAGAUAUCGGGAGGAACACCGGUGGCGAAGGCGGCGACCUGGGUCGAUACUGACGCUGAGGUGCGAAAGCGUGGGGAGCAAACAGG
rnacentral:rRNA from 1 species